GUUCAUCCCUGCGAGGACAUCCGAUAAAAUUGGAAUGAUAUAGAGAAGAUUAACAUGCCCUCAGUUCAAGGAUGACACACACAAAUUGUUAAAUGGUCCAAUUUUUU
rnacentral:snRNA from 1 species